rfam:Ovis aries breed Texel chromosome 1, whole genome shotgun sequence.
GUGGGCUAUGGGGACAUGUGCCCGACCACCCCAGGGGGGAAAAUCGUGGGUACUCUGUGUGCCAUCGCAGGGGUCCUCACCAUUGCCCUCCCUGUGCCUGUUAUUGUCUCCAAC